CCUCCACACUUGGAACUGAGACACCGGUCCAGACUUCUACGGAAGGCAGCAGUGAGGAAUAUUGGUCAAUGGAGGAAACUCUGAACCAGCUACGCCGCGUGAAGGAUGACAGCCUUUUGGUUGUAAACUUCUUUUGUAUAGAAAUAAAAUUUCCUACGUGUAGGAAACUGAAGGUACUAUACGAUAUAAGUGUCGGCUAAUUACGUGCCAGCAGCCGCGGUAAUACGUAAGACACAAGCGUUAUCCGGAUUUAUUGGGUUUAAAGGGUGUGUAGGCUGUUUAUUAAGUCAGUAGUGAAAGCUUACAGCUUAACUGUAAAAUUGCUAUUGAUACUGAUAAUCUUGAGUAAGAUUGGAGCAUUUGGAAUGUAUGGUGUAGCGGUGAAAUGCAUAGAUAUCAUACAGAACACCAAUAGCGAAGGCAGGAUGCUAAAUCUUUACUGACGCUGAGGCACGAAAGCGUGGGGAGCAAACAGGAUUAGAUACCCUGGUAGUCCACGCCCUAAACGAUGAUCACUAACUAUUGGAAAAAUUAUAUUCAGUGGCUAAGCGAAAGCGAUAAGUGAUCCACCUGGGAAGUACAGUCGCAAGAUUGAAACUCAAAGGAAUUGACGGGGUUCCGCACAAGCGGUGGAGCAUGUGGUUUAAUUCGAUGAUACGCGAGGAACCUUACCAAGGCUUAAAUGUAUUACGAAUAAACUGGAAACAGUUUAGUCUUAUAUGACGGAAUACAAGGUGCUGCAUGGUUGUCUUCAGUUCGUGCUGUGAAGUGUUUGGUUAAGUCCUAUAACGAGCGCAACCCCUAUUGAUAGUUGCCAUCGGGUCAUGCCGGGGACUCUAACAAAACUGCCGGUGCAAACCGUGAGGAAGGUGGGACAAAGUCAA
rnacentral:rRNA from 1 species